CCUACGGGAGGCAGCAGUGGGGAAUUUUGGACAAUGGGGGCAACCCUGAUCCAGCAAUGCCGCGUGAGUGAAGAAGGCCCUCGGGUUGUAAAGCUCUUUUGUCAGGGAAGAAAAGGUUGCGGCUAAUAUCCGCGACUCAUGACGGUACCUGAAGAAUAAGCACCGGCUAACUACGUGCCAGCAGCCGCGGUAAUACGUAGGGUGCAAGCGUUAAUCGGAAUUACUGGGCGUAAAGCGUGCGCAGGCGGUUUUGUAAGACUGUCGUGAAAUCCCCGGGCUUAACCUGGGAAUGGCGAUGGUGACUGCAAGGCUAGAGUUUGGCAGAGGGGGGUAGAAUUCCACGUGUAGCAGUGAAAUGCGUAGAUAUGUGGAGGAACACCGAUGGCGAAGGCAGCCCCCUGGGUCAAAACUGACGCUCAUGCACGAAAGCGUGGGGAGCAAACAGGAUUAGAUACCCUGGUAGUCCACGCCCUAAACGAUGUCUACUAGUUGUCGGGCCUUAAUUGACUUGGUAACGCAGCUAACGCGUGAAGUAGACCGCCUGGGGAUACGGUCGCAAGAUUAAAACNCAAAGGAUUGACGG
rnacentral:rRNA from 1 species